rnacentral:lncRNA from 1 species
AGGGCUACCUCUCAAAGUGCUACUCGGUGGACUUAUUUUCUGUGCAGAUUCUUCCUGUUUCAUUCUCACGAUAUCCCAAGGACGACGCUUUUCCUUUGCUUACCACAUACAGAAUACAAGAAAUGAGGAUUCUGAACUAGAAACUGAUGACUAAAACAAGGGCAAGAAAGAUGACCUGUUUGCUUGGAGAGUGAGGACUCUGUUCUCAGUGCAGAGCUGAGGUGUGGACUCCGGGCCUGGACUAUAGAAGUUCGAGGUGGAGCCUGUCCUGGGAAGUGCAAGCAGGAGCCUCAACUGAGCCCACACACUGAAAACACAGAACUCAGGAGAUGGAAGGAAGGAAAUCAACGGUCUUGGAAGAUGAGAAACCCCAAAGAAAAGCAAGAUAUCCAGAAGUUUACCUGAGCUUGCCUGAAGAGCAUACUGGCUUCAAACACAGGACCGGUGAUGCUAAGCAAGCCCCAGUGGCCUCCUCCCAUACAGGGGUCUGUGUCAGGGAGUUGGAAUACAUGUACAGUGACCUGGGCAACUGGAGCCUCAACUGGGCCCACACACUGGAAACACAGAAAGGAGAGAGGGGAUGGAAGAAAGGAAAUCAGCAGGUUCGGAGGAUGAGAAAACCCAAAGAAAAGCGAGGCAAUGGUCGAGGAGCUGUUUGCCAAGGGAGGUGAGGACAAGGACAAGUGGAGCUUGGAAAGUUCAGUAGGAAAUGAGGAACGCACAGCAUCAUCUAAGUUCUCAAGGAGCAACCUGAGCUGAGCAGGAAGGACCAGGAGAGUAAUUUAGUCCCCAGAGAACUUGUGCACCUGCCGAGGAGAUCCACACGACGGAUCCAGUUGGUUUAUACUGCUGGGAGCACCAAUCCCAGGAGGAGGAUGAGGUUUAUACUGCUGGGAGCACCGAUCCCAGCAGGAAGAUGAUGGGACCUUGAGGCUCUGCACGAGACCCCCAGCUUGAAACUUGGACGUGCCCACAUGUGGAUGUCCUCCAAGUAAGGGUGUAUGUAAUAAGGUGGAUAAAUGGUGUUUGGAGAAACAUUAGAGAUCUUCAUUCUUAU